rfam:Trichoderma reesei QM6a unplaced genomic scaffold TRIREscaffold_4, whole genome shotgun sequence.
GGUCUCUUAGCUCAGUGGCUAGAGCGAGAGAUUGCAGUUUCGCGCAGUCAUCUCUAGGUCGCGUGUUCGAUUCACGCAGAGACCU